AUGACCCCUUUAAUUGCAGAAAUGUGGCACAACAUCUCUGGAGAGAACCUCAGAUUUAUUAAAUUCAAAAGUGCUUUCCAUAUUUGGAUCAACAUGGGCUACAUUUGUGAAUGCACAUUUUCUGCAAUGUCACGCUUCCGUGCACAUCUUACAGACUGCAACUUACAAUCUCUUUCAUGUAAGCCCCUGUUAAACUCUCUCAUGGAGGAUAUGAUCUCAGUCCUGUCAGGAAGGAUUUAAAGCGCAAGCCUGUUCCUUUACCAGCCCCGGCAGCGAACACCGAAGUGCUGCAGGUGCAUGUGAUCUGUUGAAUCCAUCUUAUACUCUCCUCGGAUAAACGCUAUUGCCGAUGCAUUGCCAUUGCAACUUGAUGAGUUCACAGCUGAGCGGGCAUUUCACUCCCUGGAUACGUCAGCAUCACAUUUGCAUGAAAGGCCGUAGCCUAAUACUUGAAUUCCUGAACGGUUGACAGCAAAUUUGAAAUAUUAAAAUGUAAUGAUAAAAUAACAUUAAUUAAUGGCCAUUUCAAUGUUUCAAUUCUGUUCGGAACUAUAAAAUUUGAUUUCAUUUCUGUUUCUGGUUCUGUUCCUGUCAAAAUUUAGUUCAUUUUAGGUUUUCGUUUUCACUUCCUUGAACCUAGUUCAGAGCCCUGGCGGACAGUGGAAUAGGAAAAACAUGCAAGAAGAUGGGAGUAGAACUUCUUUAACUUGAGGCCGUUUCACGCAUGAGAUAUUAAAUUUUCAGGUUGACUAAUUAAAAAUAAGUACCAAAAAAAAAAAAAAAGAAGAAGAUUUUAAUUUCUUUUAUAUACAUAAAACAUCACUAACAGGUAAAGUAAAUAUAAUAAAGUAUUAUCUAAUAUUUCGCAAAAAGCUCUUUACUACACUUCAUUUCUCUAGGAAAUACCAAGCUGUAGACACUGAUGACUUGCCUGAGGUAAAUUAAAUGUUACGUGACACUGUUUACAUGCUGUUUUAAUGAUGUCUUUCCACAGUUGAAACAUUACGUUUCAUUACACUGAAUGAUUACGUGAGGGGUGAGAUGUUCAUUCAUGUAUAUUUCUCGUUAAAACUAGUAUUGAAGAGGAAGGUAUGAUCACGGUCACUCGCGCUCCAUGCUGCCGUAAGAACUGAUGCAUUAGUACAUGGGGAUAUGUUGUGCCACAACAGCAUUUAUUGUCUGAAAUUCCUGAAAAAAAAGGACGAUUUCUUUGCUACACAUGCAUUCCGAACCAAAAGACCUGUACCAAACAUUUUCGGUACGAAUAGGUGUACCAAUAAGGCCUGUCUAUACUGGUGUAGGUCAUCGCUCAGGACUCUGGAUGCUCCUGUCCUCUUCACCUGCACCGGGAGGUUGGUUUAAGGUUUUUUUUUUUUUUUUUUAUUUUUAACAACUAUAAAGCUAGUAGUUUGUACUAUUUUUUCCCUACUGUUGCUUGCCUAAAUUGUACAAUCAAUCACGGCAAAUCUGUGUACUUAAUUUCAGACCCUGCCUAGAACUUUGUAAGACUCAUAAUUCUAUACUGGUGUAGGUCAUCGCUCAGGACUCUGGAUGCUCCUGUCCUCUUCACCUGCACCGGGAGGUUGGUUAAGGUUUUUUUUUUUUUUUUUUUUACAACAUAAAGCAGUAGUUUGACAUUUUUUCCCUACUGUUGCUUGCCAAAUUGUACAAUCAAUCACGGCAAAUCUGUGACUUAAUUUCAGACCCUGCCAGAACUUUGUAAGACUCAUAAUGAAACCGAAUGAAUCGGUGAGUAUAUCACACAAAGCAAUCUAAGAAAUCCAAGAUUCUUUUUCUAACUGUGAACUACUUGAACUAAAUGCACAGCCCCACUUUAGACAUCCAUCUAUAAACUAAAACUGUUUUAUCACAUUUUGCAUAACUAAUCAGGUCGACCACCAACUAUAUGCAGCAUAAGAUGAAACUAAUGAAUGCAAAGAAACACUUCAAUAUGAAAACAUUAACACUAAUGCAUAUAGACCACGUUCGUGAUCACCGUCUGAAUCAGACAUGAUUUUCCAUUUAUACUGUGCAGAACUAGAUGAACCCAGAGGACUUGAUUCACCUGCCAUCAGUGCACAAUCUCAAUUAGAUAAUUAAUCUAAUUAGCGUUGAUUCAUUCUCCUUGCUGCUUCUCUGAAGCGAGCAUUAAUAUUGCUGCUUUUUGGGUCAUAAAGCAAUCACAUAAAAAGAAAUAUGAUGAGAAGCCAGCAAGGAACCAAGAGGAAAUCGGUGCAUGGAUUCUCAGUCUUUAAAUUGGACAUGCAUAUUAAUGCAAUUUUCCAACAGAAUGAGAUAAAAGUCUAUGUUUAUGCCACGCAUGCUAGUGCAGAGUCCACUUUACAUAAUUACAGGGAUUCCCAGAAAUGAAAGAUUGAACAUGUUCACAUUAGUGAACUGACUUAAGACAAAAAAAUAAAAGAUUAAUACAUGACUCUUACCUUCGUACACGGCUUUGAAGCCCUGGCCACUUACGGCAUAGUCUGACAGCAGCCAUAGUGUGAGUCUGGGUCCUGUGCUGACUAUAGGGGCGGCAGUUGAAACCCUGUCAACCUAAAUGGAGCUUGGCAGCUACAAAUGUUUGAGUGCCAAACAGACUGCUAAAUCUCAAUUUCC
rnacentral:lncRNA from 1 species